ensembl:lncRNA
CGACCCAUGCCUGUUUCCCACAUAUGUCUCCAAAGUUUUGGGAUGGACUUGAUUGGAAAUUAGAUCAAGGAAAUUUUAGUAGUAUGAGAAUUCUAUCUAGGCUUUUUUUUUUCUUUUAAAGAAUGAAAACCUUGAACAUUUCAAGAAUGAAACAAAUAAGAAAACAUCUAAAAAUUCUAAAAUGGAAUGGACUGGAACCAUGAACAGUCUGUGGGAUUGCUCUUUCUUCCUUAAUUUUCACAGGAGCAGCCAACAUAAAUAACAGCAAGAGGAUUCCCACUGUGUGACGUGAGAUGCAUCCUGCUGGGAUAGGGUAGGAAGCUGCCCUGCCUGAGCUACAAGCAAUGGCAGGGCCUCCGAGGGAGUCAGCAGAGCUGCACCUGCCAUCCCCUUUCACAGGCAACCAGCAGUACUCACUGCCCAUCUUGCUUGCUCUUCAGUGCCUCCAGGCUCUGGGCAGAGCCUGCUCAGCAUGAGGAGGACUGAUGGCUCCCAGCAAAGGUGCUGAAGAAACAGACGACACCACCUUCUCCUUCCUGGAGCUCACACUAGGGGAAGAGAUGUGAAGACCUCGCAGGUUGUGCCUUGCUGUGCUGUGACUGGAAGUUCAGGGCUGCUGGCUCCUCUGACUGGAACCGGCUCCAGUGCCUGGGUGAUGAGUCCCUGGGUGUCACGUGCUUCGUGGGACUUCUGCUCCAUCAGUCUGCAGUUCUUUCAUCCCUGGGUGACCUUGUAAUUCAGAGGCCCAUGUGUGAGGCCUGCCUCAGUCAUGGCUGGGGACCAGAGCUUGCGUGAAGCUUCUCUGAAUAUUUCCCUGCACAACUGACUCCUGUCCAACUGAAACUUUGCACUCUGACCAAUAUCACUGGCUUCCCCCUCCCACCCUGCCAUGGCAACCACCAUGCUCUCUGCUUCUGUAAGUUUAUUUGUUGAGACAGGGUCUCUCUCUGUAUUCUAGGCUGGCCUCAAACUCACUGUGUAGCCCAGGCUGGCUUUGAACUUGUGACCCUCUUGCCUCGGCCUCCCAACUGCUAGGAUUAUAGGCAUGCACCAC